rnacentral:rRNA from 1 species
GUGGCGACGAUGCGUAGGGGUUCUGAGAGGAAGGUCCCCCACACUGGUACUGAGACACGGACCAGACUCCUACGGGAGGCAGCAGUGAGGAAUAUUGGUCAAUGGGAGAGAUCCUGAACCAGCCAAGCCGCGUGAGGGAAGACGGCCCUAUGGGUUGUAAACCUCUUUUGUCGGAGAACAAAACCCGGGACGAGUCCCGGACUGCGUGUAUCCGAAGAAAAAGCAUCGGCUAACUCCGUGCCAGCAGCCGCGGUAAUACGGAGGAUGCGAGCGUUAUCCGGAUUUAUUGGGUUUAAAGGGUGCGUAGGCGGUCUGUUAAGUCAGCGGUAAAAUUGCGGGGCUCAACCCCGUCGAGCCGUUGAAACUGGCAGACUUGAGUUGGCGAGAAGUACGCGGAAUGCGCGGUGUAGCGGUGAAAUGCAUAGAUAUCGCGCAGAACUCCGAUUGCGAAGGCAGCGUACCGGCGCCAGACUGACGCUGAGGCACGAAAGCGUGGGGAUCGAACAGGAUUAGAUACCCUGGUAGUCCACGCAGUAAACGAUGAAUGCUGGUUGUCCGGGUCGAAUGAGACCUGG